rnacentral:rRNA from 1 species
GACGAACGCUGGCGGCGUGCUUAACACAUGCAAGUCGAACGGAAAGGCCUGCUUUCCCUUGUGGAUUGCGGGUACUCGAGUGGCGAACGGGUGAGUAACACGUGAGUGAUCUGCCCCCAACUUGGGUAUAAGCCUGGGAAACUGGGUCUAAUUCCCGAUAGGACUGCAGGGUGGUGCCUGUGGUGGAAAACGAUUUUCUAGUGGUUGGGGAUGAGCUCGCGGCCUAUCAGCUUGUUGGUGGGGUAAUGGCCUACCAAGGCGGGGACGGGUAGCCGGCCUGGGAGCGUGGACGGCCACAUUGGGACUGGGAUACGGCCCAGACUGCUACGGGAGGCAGGAGUGGGGAAGAUUGCACAAUGGGCGGAAGCCUGAUGCAGCGACGCCGCGUGGGGGAUGACGGCAUUCGGGUUGUAAACUCCUUUCGACCGCGAGGAAGCCACCUGGUUGGAAGGGUGGUGACGGUAGUGGUAGAAGAAGCACCGGCUAACUACGUG